rnacentral:rRNA from 1 species
GUCUACGGCCAUGCCACCCUGAACAAGCCCAAUCCCGUUUGAUCUUGGAAGCUAAGCAGGGUCGAGUCUGGUUAGUACUUGGAUAAGAGACCACCCUAGGAAGACCAAGUGCUGUAGGCA